rnacentral:rRNA from 1 species
GAUGAACGCUAGCGGGAGGCCUAACACAUGCAAGCCGAGCGGUAGAGUCUCUUCGGAGCCUUGAGAGCGGCGCACGGGUGCGGAACACGUGUGCAACCUGCCUUUAUCUGGGGGAUAGCCUUUCGAAAGGAAGAUUAAUACCCCAUAAUAUACUGGAUGGCAUCAUCUGGUAUUGAAAACUCCGGUGGAUAGAGAUGGGCACGCGCAAGAUUAGAUAGUUGGUGAGGUAACGGCUCACCAAGUCAGCGAUCUUUAGGGGGCCUGAGAGGGUGAUCCCCCACACUGGUACUGAGACACGGACCAGACUCCUACGGGAGGCAGCAGUGAGGUAUAUUGGACAAUGGGUGAGAGCCUGAUCCAGCCAUCCCGCGUGAAGGACGACGGCCCUAUGGGUUGUAAACUUCUUUUGUAUAGGGAUAAACCUAGAUACGUGUAUCUAGCUGAAGGUACUAUACGAAUAAGCACCGGCUAACUCCGUG